rnacentral:rRNA from 1 species
CACAGAAAGGCCAUCUCCUCCUUGAAGAUGUUUGUUACAUGGGAAAUCUGGAAAGAGCGGGAUGCCAGAGUUGUCCGCAACCUCAGUGCCCCCACUAUUGUGAUUGUGACGACGAUCAAGGAGGAGGCCCGACUUUUGGCAUUGGCAGGAGCUGCGCAUUCACCACGGCCCGCACAGUCUUCUAGUACUGGACAACGUCCCUCUGCAGCAGGUUGA